GUUUAAUGCUGCAUUUUAUAUAUGUAUUUAAUUGUCAAACAAACCAGGGAAAGUAGUCCACGCUUUUUAUGUUGUUAUAAGACAUAUAUUUACAUAUAUAUUCAUAUUGCAUUAUAGAAAAUAUAACAUAACACGGAAUUUUAGGCGUUUGAAGGAAUUCGAUACUAGUGAAAUUAUAGCGCAUGUCACAACAGACGUUAGAAGAUAAAUUCAAUAGAUGAUCAAAUAGUCACAGUUAAAGGUUGCCGUCCUGUAAUCGUACUGAGAACUUAAGAUGAUCUCAGUAAAAUAUCUACUGGUUUGUGCGCUUCUUUCUCAUACCAAAUAUCAAGUAAAAGCACAAUGCAGUGGCAUAUCAGCUGAAAUAAUUGUAGGAUAUAGUGUAUCUAGCAUCACAUCUCCUGGAUAUCCGAACGGCUAUGCUGGAGGCCUAAAAUGUUCCUGGGUUGCUAGAACUGAAGUCCAAGGUGAUGUUUUAUUAAUAAUGAGCACAGAGAACACACUUUCAUGUAGUAGUGACACAGUGAACGUUCAUGAUGGUCAGAAUAGUUCCGCUAAUACCUUGAUAGAGAACCAUUGUUCACCAAAUGGAAAUACUGCACAGAGUGGAUUUAGCAAAACAUCAGCGGAAUCGACAUACAUUGAAUUUGUAUCUGACAGCACAUCUGAACCUACUGAAAAAGGAUUUGAUAUAAAAAUAAUCAGUGGAAAUGAUUUUUCAGAAUCAGGAUGUAGCUUACCAGUCAAUCUCACUGCAUCCACCAAUCCACAGUAUAUUACUUCUCCUAAUUUUCCUGAAGAGUAUGCCACCGAUAAAAACUGCCAAUGGAUAAUACAGAAUACAUUAGGAAGAGUUAAGUUGAACCUUAUGUUCAUGGACAUUGAAGAAGAUGGAACUUGUUCGUAUGAUUAUCUUAAAGUUACUGAUGAGGGAUACAGUCUAAAGUUAUGUAAGGAGAAGUCUUGGUCGGAGAUAAUAUAUGUCUCAAAUGGAACGUCAGUAACAGUUGACUUCCAUAGCGAUGACCAGCAAACAAAACGUGGAUUUAUGUUAUCUUACCAACAGACAAAUUUGCCAUGCUCAUAUUGCUCAGCAAAUGUAACAAGACCAUUUCAUAUUUUUAUGUUCAUCUUGGCACUUUGUCUCAGCUGAAAAUAUUACAAACGAUGGUCAUACCUUCAAUUAAAAAUAUAACGUCACUUAUAAUUUAUUUUCUGUCAUUGCCAGCAUUAAUGUAUGGUGCGUCAGGGUGUUAGUAUUGGUAUCUUUCGCUUCUCUUUUUCCGCCGAUUUUACAUCAUUGAGAAUCAAUCUGAAGAAUGUUGAGAUCCAAGAGCUAGUAUAUAUAUAUCACUGAGUUAAUUUCCCUCUUUAGUACAUAGUAAGGAUACAGGAAUUAUUUAAUAUUGGACAGUUCAACAAAACACAACUACCACAAAACAAUAGUUGAACAAUAAUAAACAACAACGACCAACACCCAAAUGGCACAACUUAUACAAAAAAGUAUAAGUGUGGUGAACUUAAAACCAGUUUUAAGCGAGCCUCCAACAACGCCUAACUAAACCCUAUGUUGUAAACGUAAACCACACAAAAUCAAUCUGCAAAGUCCAUCUAGUGGUCGAUCAGAAAUCUAUAUAGCAGCUGACAUUUAUUUUUUCAAUAUACAUUUGUGUUUUGUACAUUUUUUGCUGUUUGGUUAAUAAUUGUCUUGUAAAAAUUAGUACACAAUGAUAGCCGCUAAGAGAAUUAUUCACAAAAUAAAAAAAAGCAAGAUGUUCAACUACAGGUCACAACACGGCCUUCAACAAUGAACAAAGACCAUACCGUUUAGUAAAUAAACAAAAUGUUAAACAAUUCAAAGUCAACUGUCAUAAAGCAUAUCUUAAUUAGGAUAACAUUUUAGAAAUCUUUGUUUAACGGGGAACUGAUCUUUAUUUUCUUUUAGAUAAAUCACAACUGAUAGUUAUCUCGAUCUAUCACAUACACUUUUGUUCUUUUUUACCUUUAAAUGGUAAUCAAUAAAAUCUACAGAUACAUAUACUGACCGUUAUUGAUUGUAGAUAUAUUAUUCAAAUAUGUUUCAACAACAGGGGUACUAGUAUCUAACUAAUAUAAAUUCAGCCAUUCAUUGAGGAAGUCGUUUUUUAAGAAAAGAUUUAGAAACAAAAGAUUCAUAUGUGAAUCCAUGGUAUUCUAAAAGAAAAACAAACAGAUCAAUUAAAUCUGAAAAGCAAUAUCAAUAUAUAUAUGGACACAACUGUGCAGCAUUAUGUAGCAAUAUGAAUGGUGUUUUUGUUUUGUUGUUUGUAUCAACAUUGAUUGUCUGGAAAGUGUCUGCACAAUGUUCUGGUACUGCUGAAAAUACGUCUGUCGGAUACACAACAGUAAAAGUGUCUGCACCAGGAUAUCCAUCGCCUGGCUAUGCUGGAAAUUUGAAUUGUGCUUGGUUAGGAUCAUCCUUUAUAUCUGGAGCCGUCAUUCUAUUUAAAGUUACUGAUAUCACACUAAGUUGUGCAGGAGAUGCCAUUAAUGUAUAUGAUGGAACAUCAACUUCUGGGAGCCAAGAACACACAAAUGAAUGCAAAUCGGGUUCUGGUCCAAGAACACUUGGUUAUAAGACCGCUUCAACUGGAAAUGUUUACACGACCUUUACAUCAGACGCAACAUCUUCAGCUUCAGAGCUCGGAUUUCUUAUGUAUAUGAUCAGUGCUAUUGACGUUUCUGGAACAGGGUGUACAUCAGCACAAAGUUUGAUUACAACAAGUACAGAGCAGUAUUUAUCAAGUCCAAAUUUUCCAAGUAAUUAUCCACUAAAUACAGAUUGCACAUGGGAUAUCACAACAAAAAAUACAAACGCCAAUGUUAUUUUGAAGAUACUAUUUAUGGAUAUUGAAUAUGAACCAUCAUGCGGGUAUGAUUACAUAACAAUAACAGAAUCGGGAUCAACAACAACAAAACACUGCACGGAAGAUGUAUGGGAACCUACGUACACAUAUACUAGUUCAGGAAACUAUUUUCAUAUUGAAUUCAAGUCUGAUAAUGCCAGUCCAAAGAGAGGAUUUUUGUUAUCAUAUGUUCAAACAGAUACUUCAACAGCUCAGUCAUCUGGACAAUCGGAUGGGGAUUCAGCAGUUGGACUAGUAUGUGGAGUAGUUGCAGCAUCGUUACUAGGGGCUACUGCAAUAGUGGUUGCUAUUGUUUUAUACAAGAAAUACACAAUAAAGCAAAAAAUUAAUGAUAGUAAAAUAGGUCAUAAGGAGUCAUCCCAUGGUCGUUAUGAUGAUAAUAAAAAUGUUUCGUA